UACUUCGUCUUAUCUCUUUCUCUUGUUUUCUCUCCACCGCAGCCGCACACCACUCAGUCCUCCCCCACGCCGCCACCUUCCUCCUCCGCACCAGGCCACCGCUGCCACCUUCCUCCUCCCCGUGAGCCUCUGCCACCACCUCCCUACUCCACGUGAGCCGCCGCCUCCCCCUCCCUCCACGAACCGAGGCUGGGCCUCGGCGCUAGGCCGCCGCCGCAACCUCCCUCCUCCGCGUGAGCUACGGCCGCCUCUCUCCGCGAAUCAAGGCUGCCUCCCACCUCUGGGUGAGCCGCGGCUACCUCCCUCCGUGACCGAGGCCACCGCUCCCCUCUGCAAGAUCCGCCAUCGUCGUCGACCCUGCGGCAGCGGCAAGAAGCUGUUGGAUUGCCUGCAAGGUGGCCGAGUGCUGCUGCACUGGCGGCGAUGGCAUCUGGAACAACCUGGUGUUAUUGUUCUGGUGGAAGUGAUGUGCAGGGAGGAGGUGGACAUGCAGAUGGUGCGGGUUGUCGCAUAGCGUGGCUGGGAUGAGGUAGUUGUGUUUGCUCUCAUACGUGUUGAUCACCCCUUGGUAUGACCUUUCAACCUGCUUCUUCACCUGGUACUUCUAGGGUAAGCACCGGCAGUAGCUCCUAUAAUGCAUACAUUUCUAUCAUCCCAUUGCAGAAGAGUUGGAUCCCAUUAUUGUUAGAAGUAACUUCAAUUUUGAAUGUUACAUUUGAGUGAGUUAGAUGUAAAUUUCAAGUUAGGAGUUACUUUACGAUUCUGCUAAAUGUAGUUUCAACAUGUCAGUUACUUUCAUGAGUUUGGUAGAUGUAGUUUAAAUGUUAAGAGUUACUUUCCUGAUUUAUUAGAUGUAAUUCUGAUGUUAAAAGUUACAUCUACAUGUGAGCUUGGAGAAAGUAAAUUUUGUUAGAUGUGUGGAGUUUCUCAUAGAACAAAAAAAGAGGGAGAUCUGAUAAAGCAGAGGAGGUGCGGCGUGUUACCUGCUAUUUGGGGACCACACAUGGCAGGCAUCGAAGAUGUCAGUUAUGCUCUUGCCAACUGUAUGUGAUGCUAAGUGGGGAUGAGCGUCGCUCGCGGCCAGAGACGUACAGUGAAUGUCAAGGAGAAAAAAGGUGGGGCAGUCUGCGGAAGGGUGGGAAUUAAUUACGACGGCAAGAGAAAACGCGUUCGACCCACGCACGGAAGGGGUUUCUUGACGAAUAAAGCACGUGCAUGUGGCCUUGUCGGAAGGCACCCUGUAAGGCUACCCCCCUAUAAUUAAUUCAUCAAACAUGUAAACCAUACGAGACAUGCAUAAACCACACCUAAAUUGUAAAUUACAGGGACAUCUAUAAACCAAACCAGACAUGCAUGCGCGCAUAAACCACACCUAAAUUGUAAAUUACUUGAACAUCAGGACAUGCAUCUCUCUC